UUCUUCUUCCCCAAACUUCUUCUUCUCUAUAUCCUCUUCCACAAUCUUUCUCUUCCUACUCCCAAUUCCCCAAUUCUCAACUCUCUACCUCAAUUCCCCACCCCUCUCUACCUCUAUCUCUAUUAUCUUACCUUUUCUAGUGGCAAUUUACCUUAGAACUGCGACUAGGAGCCACCAUCAUCCUUGCAGCCAUCCUCACCUCAGAGAAUUCUUAUCAUCGGCGGGUUGCGACAAGUCAGGGAUAUUACAACCACUAAAAAGGCCACAUAAGUUAGUAUCCCUUCAGUAGUUUUGUAGCAGUAGAAUUUCACCUUCUUAUCAGA
rnacentral:lncRNA from 1 species